rnacentral:rRNA from 1 species
UACGAAGGGGGCUAGCGUUGCUCGGAAUCACUGGGCGUAAAGCGCACGUAGGCGGAUUGCUAAGUCAGGGGUGAAAUCCUGGAGCUCAACUCCAGAACUGCCUUUGAUACUGGCGAUCUUGAGUCCGGGAGAGGUGAGUGGAACUGCGAGUGUAGAGGUGAAAUUCGUAGAUAUUCGCAAGAACACCAGUGGCGAAGGCGGCUCGCUGGCCCGGUACUGACGCUGAGGUGCGAAAGCGUGGGGAGCAAACAGG